CCGUGCAAAGGUAGCGUAAUCACCUGUUUCUUAAUUAGAGACCUGUAUGAAUGGCACCACGAGAGUUAAACUGUCUCCUUUUUCCAGUCAGUUAAACUAAUCUUCCUGUGAAAUAGCAGGAAUCCUCUAACGCGACGAGAAGACCCUUUGGAGCUUAAGAAAAAUAAAAUUUUAUGUCCCUUCCCACCACAUACCUCGCAACACCAAAUUUUAAUAGUCUUCAGUUGGGGCAACUACGGAGUAAAAAUAACCCUCCAAGAUGUAUCGGAGCUUUCCUAAACAAAGAGCCACAGCUUUAUGUAUCAACAAACUGACAUUAUUAGACCCAAUAUUUUGAUUAACGAACUAAGUUACCCUAGGGAUAACAGCGCAAUCCACUCUAAGAGUCCCUAUCGACGAGUGCGCUUACGACCUCGAUGUUGGAUCAAG
rnacentral:rRNA from 1 species